rnacentral:rRNA from 1 species
UACGAAGGGGGCUAGCGUUGUUCGGAUUUACUGGGCGUAAAGGGCGCGUAGGCGGUCGUGACAAGUCACUUGUGAAAUCUCCGGGCUUAACUCGGAACGGUCAAGUGAUACUGUCGGACUAGAGUACAGAAGGGGCAACUGGAAUUCUCGGUGUAGCGGUGAAAUGCGUAGAUAUCGAGAGGAACACCAGUGGCGAAGGCGGGUCUCUGGACAGUUCCUGACACUGAGACACGGAAGGCCAGGGGAGCAAACGGG